rnacentral:rRNA from 1 species
GAUGAACGCUGGCGGCGUGCUUAAGACAUGCAAGUCGAACGCAGUCGUCUCGCAAGAGAUGGCUGAGUGGCGAAUGGGUGCGUAACACGUAGGUGACCUGCCCAGAAGUGGGAAUAACAGUCCGAAAGGACUGCUAAUACCGCAUGCGGUGCGAGGGUUUAGAAGCCUUUCACCAAAGGUAUCCGCAAGGAUGCCGCUUCUGGA